rnacentral:rRNA from 1 species
AGACGGGGGGUGCUAGCGUUGUUCGGAAUUACUGGGCGUAAAGGGCGCGUAGGCGGCUCUGCGAGUCGGGCGUGAAAUCCCGGGGCUCAACCCCGGAACGGCGCUCGAUACUGCGGGGCUGGAGACCGGAAGAGGAGGGUGGAAUUCCCAGUGUAGAGGUGAAAUUCGUAGAUAUUGGGAGGAACACCGGUGGCGAAAGCGGCUCUCUGGUCCGGUUCUGACGCUGAGGCGCGAAAGCGUGGGGAGCAAACAGGAUUAGAAACCCUAGUAGUCC